CUGUUUGGCAGAACUGUUAGGCCUGUUUCGGAGUUAUUUGGCAGGACAAUUUAGUGCUCCUUUCCAAAACAGAAGCCCUAACUCCCUCUAUAGGCACAAUAAGAAAGAGCAGACUAAGCCUAACUGUAGAGUUCACAUUUAGCAAGCGUAACGUAUGUAAUCUCUUAAAAACAAUGAAAGCUGCAUAGACCCAGACGACACUGACGACCCAUUGGGUGGCAGUACAAAACGAGUUUGAUUUUCCCUACGUUGUACAUUGAAGAAUGCGGCAGGCUGUCUGUGUUCAAGUGCACUGGUGGCCAGGCUGGAGGGGCACUGGUUUCCUGUGUCCCCAUAGGGAACAUGACCCUGGGAUGAGGCCUGAGGAGACCACCCCGGCAUGAUGAAGCUGCCUCCUGCCUCCCCACACAGCCCAGGUCCAUUUCUCUGCUACGUAUGACGUGGGUGUGCAGCCUCCCCCUGUCCCCAUGCCACUUCCAUUUCUGUAUAUAUUUUUUCCACAUCCGUGUCAGUGUUGAGGCUGGGUAGGUGCUGAGGUGAAACAAGACCAGUGCAGAGUAAGCCUGAUGUGGCAGUGCAAGCUUCAUUAUUGCUUCAGGUGUCUCCUGAGGCGGGACUGCUGGAACUGCGAACGCCAGAAGAGGAGCUGCAGGAUUUCCCAACUCCUUGCUAAUCAUACAAGCAAUUAGAAUUUUAAUUUUUAUGAGUGCCUUAGUUCCAUUAAAACAAAACAAAAACAAUCAAAGAAACCUGUAAGUUAUGAAGUCACUGAAAAAAAGCCCCAACCACCACACUGCCUAUUUGCCAUUAGCCACUCCCGCCGCAAUUAAUUAAAACGCUUAUAAUCGCUUUGCGUAGCGUCACAAGGUGAGUCGUGACCGGAACAACGCCGUUAAUCACGCCUGGGAGCCGUGUCACGGGCAGGCAGCCUUGCCCCCACCCCACACACGUGCACCCAGUGUGCCGGCGCUAAGAUGGCGGCGCAGGCGGCGUGACGUGGCGGCGGGGGCCGCCCAUUUUCUCUGUGGCGGCCGCAUGGAGGCGGCGGCGCUGGAGCGGUUCCGCAGCCCGGGGAAGGGCAGCGGACUGCGCUCCCGGCGGCGGGUGCGGCCCGGCGAGCUGCUGUACCGGGCCGAGCCCUUCGCCUACGUGGUCAGCAAGGAGCUGCUGGGCGGUGUCUGCGAGCGGUGCCUGCGCAGGAAUGAACAUCUGCACAGAUGCUCUCAGUGCAAGGUUGCUAAAUACUGUGGUAAAUCUUGUCAGAAAGAAGCUUGGCUGGACCACAAGCAAGAAUGCAAGUGUCUUAAGAAUAUCAAGCCUAAUUUUCCUCCAGAUUCUGUCAGACUUGCCGGCAGGAUUGUUUUUAAACUACUUAGACAAUCAGUAUGCAUUUCUGAGAGGCUCUACUCUUUUUCAGAUCUUCAGUCAAAUACUGAACAACUAAGUGAAGAAAUGAAAGAUGGCCUCAGGCACCUUGCGCACACCUUGCAACUGUAUCUGAAAGCAGAGAUCCAGGAUGCAUCUCACUUGCCAGCUGCAAUUGACUUUUUUCAGAUCUUCACAAAAGUGACCUGUAACUGUUUCACCAUCAGUAACGGAGAGAUGCAGGAUGUUGGUGUUGGCCUGUAUCCCAGCAUGUCUUUACUGAAUCACAGCUGUGACCCAAACUGUGUGAUCGUUUUUGAAGGAUACCAGCUUUUACUUCGCUCUGUCCGAGAGAUCCAGAUUGGUGAAGAGCUCACCAUCAGCUAUAUUGAAUCGCUGAUGCCCACCAGUGAACGCCAAAAGCAACUGAUGCGCCAGUAUUGCUUUGAAUGUGACUGUCAUCUCUGCCAGGAUCAAGAAAAGGAUGCUGAGAAAUUGGCAGGUGAAGAGUGUGCCUGGAAAGAAGUCAAAGAUGCUGUAAAUGAAGUGAGAUAUCCGAAAUCAAAAGAAGAGUGGGAGCAGGUUCUGGCAAGAUGUCAGAGUCUCUUGAGCAGCAACACGGGUCCUCUUCCAGACACAAAUAUCUACCAGCUGAAAAUGCUCGACUGCGCCAUGGAUGCCUGCAUCAACCUUGAAGCCUGGGAACAAGCUUUGUGUUAUGGCAGCAGGACUCUAGGACCAUACAGACUGUAUUAUCCUGGCUUCCAUCCGCUGAGGGCUGUCCAGCUGAUGCGAGUGGGCAAACUGCAGUACAGUCAAGACAUGUUUCCUCAAGCACUGGAGACCUUGAAACAGGGAUACAUCGUGCGGUUGGUGACACUGUGGCCUGAGCUGCUGUCUUGCGAUUACUGUAGUGUUUCAUAAUUAGAUUUCUUCUUUUGUCUGAGAGGAGGACCACACACAUCACAAGACUCUGAUCCGCCUUGGCUCGGCUGGUUAGCUGCCUAUAAAAUUAUGAAGGUGACCCAUGGGACAGAUCACAGCCUGAUGCAAACCUUGAUGGACUUAAAGGAGCAGUGUGAGGCCAUCAUGAGAAUACACUGAAGAAAUUCUCCAGUCUGGAAAACAAAAUAUUCAAGGAGACAGGAAAUAUUUUUUUUUAUUACAUUAGGAAGCUUCUCAAUGAUUUUGGUGUUUUUUUCAUCAGGCCCUGAUUUUAUUACAAAAAUUUGUUAGUUUUGCUGUAUGAUCUUCUGAAUUGAGUUAAUGGUUGGAAGAAUAUGUGAAUAUAAUAUUUUCAGAAAGUUUCUAAUUUCUGCAAGGCAAAAUGGUAGUGGGUAAGUCUCAGUAUUUGAUCUUAAUACGUGCUGGUGAUAAAAAUACAAACUUAAACAUA